UAAUUUGUGAUUAUCAUCAAAAUGUAUUUAUUUUAUCUUCAGUUCUUUCAGUUUUGGGUGUGGUAGGUUGCAGGAGUUGCUGCUGCUGGUCUUUCUCUCGCUCAUGUUGCUGCAGAAGCGCAUCUGAGAUUGAGAACCUUGGUCAUAUUGAGAUUCUUGUUUGUGCUCAAAUUUGUUAUAUACUACUUGUUACAAUUCUUUUCUCCUUGAUGAAUUGGAAAAUCCCCUUUUAGUUUUUAAGUUUUUACUGAUUGGUUAGUCCUUCUUUUCCCCUUCCUGUUUUCUGAUUUCAUUUUUUCUUUCUCUUAUGGGUAACCAGUUACAAAAGGACCCUCUGUUAGUCAUUAUACCAAGCUGUUAUUUUCCUUAUAUAAGAACCCUUUGGAUAAUUGGAUUGAUUAGCAUUAGAAAAUGCCCUGCAAGUUUGUGGGAAUGGUUAUCUGGUUUAUGUUGGGAGGGUGCAUUUGCUGUCAUGUGUGGCUUUAUUAUCAAAGUUGGAAGAGAAGGAACUUCUGUGGCUUUAUGUUUUUUCUUCAUAGUUACGCGUUUGAUUGUAUUGUCAUCUCAUAGGGUUUGUUUCAGAUUCAGUAUGACACUAUAACUAGAAUGUAAAUUAAUACAUGUAAUUAUAUUUAGGCUUUUAGACACGUGUGAUUAAAAUUAAGCACGUGGUUCAGUUAGUAAGUUAGAAUUAGUUUUAGCUACAGUUAGUUAGUUAGUUAGAGAGUUUGUUAUGAGUUAGUUGAGAUUAGCUUAGUUGAUUAGCAUUUGUAUAUACAUUUCUGAUCAAUAAACAAACACUGAUUCAGAAUCUACAAAUUUUCUCUCAAUAUAAAUAAACCCAGAUUUCAAAAAAACCUUUUUUUGUAAAUAUGUUUUAGAUUUUGUUCCAUUAUCAUUUUGGUUUCGUCUUCGUAGAUUCAAUGUGUUAUUCUCAUGAUGUUGAUGCAUUUUGUUCAUAACUCAAUAGGUUAUUUAGGAAAAUAUAAAUGUUCUGUUUGGUUGUUUGAAGAGAUCACAUUAAGUUGUGCAAUUUGUCUCAAGUAAUUGCUAAUUUCAUUGACAUUGAGGUUUCUAACAACAUUCAUAUACUUGAGUUAUUAAGUUUACUGCAACUCCUUGUUAGUUGGAAUUAUGUGCUAAGGGAAGAGCCGGGGCAGAGAACAUGAGAGGUCGUACUAAAAGUGUGUUUGGAAUGCUACUACCAGGUUUCAAACAUAGAUGUUAGAUUUACUGAUCUAUAGUAUGCAAAGGAAGCCUACUGAUCCUCAAUCUGGUUGGGAUAAAUGCCAUGGUCAUGGAGAUUGAUGGGAAUGCAAAAGUGCGGUACAUUGCUGAAAAGGAAGAUGCAGAAAUUGUAAUGGAGCCACUGCCACAAAUUAGAGCUAAACUCAGUAGGAUUAAGCAAAAAUAGAUGAAAGAUUAUGAGGUGACAAUGACAUAGUUAAAGAUAUAUUUGUGGUUUUUACAUGGAGUGUGAUUAGAUGUUGGUUAGCUUAGUGAGAAAUUAUAUUAGUUUCCUUGGUCAAUACUAUAGGUUGGUUAUUAUGUAGUUACUUUCUUACGCUCUAUAUUUGCCACAUGAUUGGAUUCUUCUACACAUCAUAUUCAUUCAUUAAAUUUUAGAUUCUCUUUUCACUUUCUCCCAAUAUACUAUGUGGUUGUUGCCAUGUCUCUCAACACUCCAUAGUUAGAAUUCAAAGUACUGCCUUUUGGCUGUGUUCAGCACUUGUCUGCUAAGGCCUAAAGCUGAUUAUGUAUAAAAACAUCUAAUAUUAGGUUUAAUCUCCGAGUGUUAUUAUCUAAUACAUGAUUGGUCAAUGGUGUGAAAUUGAAAGUCUGAUUGCUGAUGAAAUUUUCUGCAAUAUUGUGAUCAGUUUCAUCUUCAGUGAAUCUACAUCUGAAUUUUUAACCAUCAGGAAGCACUGUAAAAGGCUCUAUACCUAUCCCCGAAGGUAUGAAGUCAAAAAUUUCAAAAGAUGAAUUCACAUGAGGUGAUUGACAGUAUCUCUACAUUUGAUAAUUUUAUACAGGGUUGUGCUCAUGCAUUCAUGAAACACAUUAGAGAAAGAAUUUUCUAACUCUGAUGCUUAAGGGUGUUGAAGAGCUUAAUGAUGUUUGAUGCUGCCAAAGUAACUAAAAAAAUAGUCACUUUUGUAUUUUUUGAUGUAUGAAUUAUGAUUGCUGAUCCCAGAUGUUUAUGAAGUCAUGUUCUUUCUUUUUAUGAGGGAAAAUAAGCACUAUUUGAUGCACGAGUGGAAGAUUAUAAGCACUAUAUGAAGAAAUAGCACAGGUUUGGACAAUAUCUGCUAAUGGGGAGAGAAAAUUGGUGAAUUAUUUGCCAAGGCUAUGGAGAAAGUUGGCAAAGAGGGAGUGAUCACAACUGCAAUAAGUUUUUUAUCUUAUCAUCAUAUUGACAAAGCCAUACCUUCUGUUGAAUCAAAUUUUGGGUGAUGAGACAGCAGUGCAUUAUUUUGAUGGUCAAAGAAAUUUAUGUUGCAGGAGGUAGAUGUCCGCAGAAUUCUGUAAGGUUUAUGGAACUUGCACAGUUCUCUUGUUUGGAAAAAGUCUUACCUAUGCUUCCAGUUCAGACUUGUAAUUGUAACAGUACAAAAUAGAAGGGUUUCUCUCUAGUUGUUCAGACUUGUUCUUGUUGCUCUAGCUGUUUGGUUUCAGAUUUCUCUAGUUGUAUAUGCUGUGUUCUGUCCCAACUAGGAGGGAUUGUUCCCAGUAACCUUUGAUUAUGAUGAAAUAAAGAUCUCUUUUGUUGUAAAAAAAAAC